rnacentral:piRNA from 1 species
UAAAUACUUGUAGGCAAUGAUCAAU